CAGUCAUGCUCUUUGGAUUAAGCCGUUCUGCGGUGUAUUUCAUUGAGCGGGGUCAACAUCAGUUUUGAUCGCUGGAAAAGGGCAGGAGGAAGGUAGCACUCUCGGGUGAACUUAUGGCCUCUUGUCGUAUACAGUGAUUGGGACUGAGGAACGCAGCAUGCCUUUUGGCCGGGAUUCGUCCACGUACAUGCUUAGGAUGUUGACAUAAUGGCUUUAAACGACCCGUCUUGAAACACGGACCAAGGAGUCUAACAUAUAUGCGAGUGUU
rnacentral:rRNA from 1 species